UUUUAGCCCUGAUGGGAGCGGCAUCCUUUUUACAAUUUUUUUAGACUGGAAGCAUUCAAAAGGCUUCCAGUCUAAAAAAAUUGUAAAAAGAUACAGCGUACAGCAGGAAAUAGC
rnacentral:sRNA from 1 species